rnacentral:rRNA from 1 species
AUUGAACGCUGGCGGCAUGCUUUACACAUGCAAGUCGAACGGCAGCACGGGGGCAACCCUGGUGGCGAUUGGCGUACGGGUGAGUAAUACAUCGGAACGUGUCCUGUAGUGGGGGAUAGCGCGUCGAAAGCCGGGUUAAUACCGCAUACGCGCUACUGAUGAAAGAGGGGGACCUUAGGACCCACCGCUACAGGGGAGGCCGAUCGCAGGUUGGCUAGUUGGCGGGGUAAAGGCCUACCAAGGCGACGAUCUGUAGCCGGUCUGAGAGGACGACCAACCAGACUGGGACUGAGGCAGGGCCGAGACUCCGGCGGGAGGCCACGGUGGGGAAUUUUGCGCGAUGGAGGCAACCCUGAUACAGCAAUGCCGAGUGUGUGAAGAAGGCGUUCGGGUUGUAAAGCACUUUUGUCAGGAGAGAAGUCGCCGUGGUUCAUACCCGUGGCGGAUGACGGUACCGGAAGAAUAAGCACCGGCUAAAUACGUG